UACGUAGGGUCCGAGCGUUGUCCGGAAUUAUUGGGCGUAAAGAGCUCGUAGGCGGUUCGGUAAGUCGGGUGUGAAAACUUUGGGCUCAACCCAAAGCCUGCACCCGAUACUGCUGUGACUUGAGUCCGGUAGGGGAGUGGGGAAUUCCUGGUGUAGCGGUGGAAUGCGCAGAUACCAGGAGGAACACCGGUGGCGAAGGCGGGUCUACUGGGCCGGACCUGGACGGCUG
rnacentral:rRNA from 1 species